rnacentral:rRNA from 1 species
UACGUAGGGUGCAAGCGUUAAUCGGAAUUACUGGGCAUAAAGGGUGCGUAGGCGGCUUGUUAAGUCAGGGGUGAAAGUUUUCGGCCCAACCGGAAAAUUGCCUUUGAUACUGGCGAGCUCGAGUGCGUGAGGGGUAACCGGAACGAGCAGUGUAGCGGUGAAAUGCGUAGAUAUUGCUCGGAAGGCCAACGGCGAAGGCAGGUUACUGGUACGCAACUGACGCUGAGGCACGAAAGCGUGGGGAGCAAACAGG